GCAUCGAUGAAGAACGCAGCGAAAUGCGAUAAUUAAUGUGAAUUGCAGAAUUCAGUAGAUCAUCGAGUCUUUGAACGCACAUUGCGCCCCCUGGUAUUCCGGGGGGCAUGCCUGUCCGAGCGUCAUUGCUGCCCUCAAGCACGGCUUGUGUGUUGGGCUUCCGUCCCUGGUAACGGGGACGGGCCCAAAAGGCAGUGGCGGCACCAUGUCUGGUCCUCGAGCGUAUGGGGCUUUGUCACCCGCUCCCGUAGGUCCAGCUGGCAGCUAGCCUCGCAACCAAUCUUUUUAACCAGGUUGACCUCGGAUCAGGUAGGGAUACCCGCUGAACUUAAGCAUAUCAAUAAGCGGAGGA
rnacentral:rRNA from 1 species